CACAUAUAUAUAUUUCGAAUUUUCUUUUAAUGACACACAUAUUUUUUGUAUUUUGUUUGAUAAUGAUUAAAUGCGAAAUGGACAGACCCACAAAUGACUAGCAAUACAUGUCAUGAAGAAUUUGUAUCGCGGGGUCAUUUGUCACUAUUUUUAUUUUUGUUUUCCUUUUGGAGUGAUUGCUCGUAAAGCAAAAAUCACGUGCUUACAGUGCUCUAAGGCCCAAUGGUUAUUAGUUAACCUUAAUGUUCCCUAUAUAAGUACACUUAGUGUGUACUCUAAAAGAACAUUUUGCAGUAAUUUUUCUACGCUUAAUCUUCUCCCACAAUCAAAUUAGGGUUUAGACUAUGGAAUUGGGGUUGCUCCAACACAACGUGACAACCAUCACCGACUGAUGAUUCCAGUCGUGGUUCCCCUGUCUUCCGCUUCCGUGACGAAGAACAAGUAAGUUCUCGUUUUAUAAUUUACGCGCUAAAUUAAUGUGCUUAGUUUAUCGCGUCAUCCUUCACUAUAUUUAAAAAUAAUUUAAUUUUAAGCUUCUCUUUCUAGAGAUGCUUUUGUACUCCAACAAAUAUUUAUCACUUAGUUUUAGACCACAAAUUUCAAAAUUAUUUCUUAUUUAUUAAACUUCGUGCUCACAAACUAUGCCACGUAAAAUGGGACGGAAGUAGCCAAUUAGUCAAAGAUUGUACCUUUACAGGAGCAGAGGGAGAAGAAGGGGCAUGUUGUUGAGGCUCCUGAAUAUACUUCUUCAUACGACCCAUAAAUUCUUUGUUCCAGAUAUAAUCAUCAGAGGUGAGAGGAUCCACAUCCUCACCCCAAUACUUCCUGAGCUUAGUUGUAGUGACAACGUCCCCAUUGGACAAUUUCACAGGUUUCUGCUGGGGCAAAAUAACCUUGGUCUGUGUUAGAAUUGAAGAUGGGGUUGAAUUAUUUGCAGAAUCUUGAGAUAUGGGUGUGGCUACAGAGGUCACUGAGAGAUAGCAGUAGUUUAGGACUGCCAUCUGAAUUCCUUCAAUUUUUUUGGAUGAUGAGUGAUGUGCUUGUGUGGACCUAGUGCUGUUGAUAACAUUGUUUGUAUUUUUUGGCCAUGCAAAAGUUUGACUGGAUA
rnacentral:lncRNA from 1 species